AGAGGCAGCAGCACCAGAGUCGCCUUCACCGCCUUCCUGCAGGAGCCAGACCACAACGAGAUCAGCUGACUGAUCUGAUUUUUAACUUCAUACAGUGUGAAAUGUCACUAACACUGUAAAUCUGUCUGUGGAACUUCUUGUGCUGGCCUCGUACCUGUACUGGAUGGUCUCUGACGAGGUCGAUGCCCUCAGUUUGGUCAUCAGGAUCCGAACGAUGUUGAACAGGAAGACGAAGUUGACCUGAGGAGGAGACGAGAAACGUUCAUACAGAGUUGUUGUUUGUAUUGAGUCCUCGUCUGGCCCAACGUUUCUCUUCUGUCAAGGUUUGUUUGUAGUUUUAUACAUUAAUAUCGUUCUGUACCUGCACCAGGUGAUCAUAAUGAACACAGCAGGACCAAUCAGGUUCCACCGCUCUGUCUGGGGUUAAAUGAGCUGAGAGAUCAUUAAAGGGGACAUAUUAUGCUCCUUUUCAACAAGUUCAAAUAAGUCUCAGACGUCCCCAAAACAUGUCUUUGAAGUUUCUUGCUAAAAAAUCCACUCCGAUCUUAUAUUUCAGCAUGCCUGUAAACCCCUCUUUUUCAGCCCUGUUCAGAACAGGCUGUUUUUGUGUCUGUAGCUUUAAAUGCAAAUGAGCUGUGCCUGACCACGCCCCUCUUCGGAAGGGGAUGCGGCUUGGGCUUCUGGCACCAUGCUCUAAUGUUUACGGUGACCGUGACCGUCGACCUGGCGUCGGUAGCGAUUUGGUUCAACCACACGACUUUUAUCCAGAAUGUGACCCAGAGGGAGAGGCUGCUGAAGAAGUUCAAACUCUACAACUGAAUGGUUGGUAACCAAUGUUGUGUAUUUUGACUUUACAUUUUCAGUUUGUUGAUGUUUGCUGGCACACAGUUACCAACAUGUAGCUAGGUAGCUAAUGCUAACUGUUACUGUCUCGUCAUUACUGGAGCUCUUUUGGUAAAUAAGCACUAUUGUGAAUUGCGUAAUGUAGUUAUCUGUCAUGCCUCCUUAGAUAUACUUUUACAGUCUGAAAAUGUUUGUUGUAUGUGGACUGCUACAGGUGUUCAGUGUCAGUACUAGUCAGAUAUUUUAAUAGAUGCUGACAAAGUAAAUCAUGUUUCUCCAUGUUUUGAGCAGAGAUGCUCAUCAUGACAUCUUCCUUUAUGUAGUAAAUGUAUUUUGUGUAUUACAAUGAAAGCUGUAAAUCAGUAUAAACAUGUCUGACAGCAACAGUAAUCUUUAGUCAAAGACUAAACUGUGCAGUUUUCUACACUACACUGUUGUCAAGCUCCACAUUAUAUGCAAUAAGUGACAUGUUAUAAAUGACCUGUUAUAUGCGCCUGAUAUGUAGCCAAGCUUACUUCUUACCCACCUUAGCUCCACUGUCUGUCAGUGUUUGAAUUUCACAAGCUUUAUAUUCUGGUGAAUGUUUCCAUUUUUCUCUAUAUUUUGGACAGGUGCUCCUGUGGAAACUGUGCAACCAUGCCCACAGAAGCUGAGAACAUCUGCUGCUAGGAGAUACCACAGGUUACCAGACGGCUAUGGGAGAUUAAGGAAGAUUUAUCAUGUAUGGUCGGCCGUCCUGGGUUGGAGCCGCUCUGCCUCAUUGUGUUCUGCCUGCAACAUGUACCGCACUGACUAUGGUCCUUUACGGUUGAGAGGAAUACACCAGUACGUUUUGCUUCUUUGUAAAAACAUAGUUUCAAUCUGAAUAAAAGAUGUUAGACAGUCUUGUUUUACUUCAGUGCACAUAAUUUUACAAUGGUAACAACACACCACAAAUAGAGUAACACACCCUCAAAUAAAUUAGUUUAGCUGCUCUUUGAUUUGUAAAGUUCUUCUAUCAGCAGAUAGUGUGCAUAUAAUAUAUGAAUUCAGAGGAGUCAUUUCUUUAGUAAUAAUCAAGCAUUUAUUUACAUCAAAUGAGGCAAUUAUAAUCAGUGAUAAUAAAAAAAACUGUAGGAUUCACUGGAUCCAUAAAAAAAAAAUUGUGAGACACAACAUAGAUAUAUGUUUGCAAGACUAAAUGCCCUGUCCAGUUGUUUCAGUCAGUACAGGUAUCUAGCCUAUAGGAGCUUUGUGAGCUGGUGCUUCCUUGGUUGCAGAAUCCGGGUCGUCAUUCCAGCCUGCGUGGUCCUACGCAUCAGUGCCGAGUUUCCUGACGCCACAGGCCGGUAUGUGGGUUUUAGACUGGCCCAUGAUAGAACCGGGACACAGAGCUGGAUAUGACCUCCUCCUUCUCAGGCCGCUCCAACUGUGCAGUGAGGUCCUCUGGGAUGGGGAUGGCCAAAGCAGCUUCUGUGUAUGGUCCCAGGUCAACAAAGACUUUUUCAAAUAUGAGGUCCACCACAUUCCCUGUUUGAUAAAACACAAAAGAUUUUGUUUACAUUUUUCACUUUUUUGUUGUUUUUUUACAAAACAAUGACUGAAAGUCUGUUUCUAAAUACCUCCUGACAUUUUCUUUACUGUAUUUUGUUGUUGAUGGAACUGUCAUAACAUUAUAUGUGCAAUACUUAAUACAAUGUGUACAAAACAUUUUUUGGUUGAAAAAUAAAAUAAUAUAACACUUAUAGAAUGUCGCCUCAGUCUUAACUGGUGUAGCUCUGCAUUCUCCCUUCAUGGCUUUUGGAAAUUGGACCUUGAACAGUGGUUCACCUUCUUUUGUUUGGGCUUGUGGUCGGUCAGCAGUUUCAUUGUAGUACAUGGCAGCCAGGUGACAGAUGAUGACAGAAACCUUAGCCUACACACUCUCACAAGUUCUAAGUAACCACAGCUUCAUUUACCUGCACAUUAUUCCACGACUGAUAAAUGACUGUUAGGUUUAUCAAAAGUAGAUGCACUUCAGAUGGCUACAGACCUGUACUUCUGAUGUGAGGCUGAAGAUCUUCAAGGAUAACUGUGUGCCUGCAGUGGGUCAGUCUGGCAUGCAACAUCCCCUGUUGCAGGAAGCUGUAUAGAUGGCCUGAACAGAGGAAACAGAGGUUACACCAACAUCUCCUCAAAUGUGUAGUUAUGGCAACAGCUGCAAGCAGUGCAUAAAUGAUAACAACACAUGCACUCAAUUAUGUGUAAACUGGGUUUGUCAAUAGCUUGUAAAUACUGCAAAUAGCUCACUAUAUGUGCAAAAUGCAAAAAAUGUGUAUUACAGACUAUCUCCUUUCACAUAUUCCCUGUAACUCUGCGCUUAUCUAGAUAUUCCCUACAGGCACUGUAUCUGUGAACAUGAUAUAAACGUUAAAACGGACAUCAUAAGGCAUGACUCUCAAUAAUAACUUUCACAGUACUAAUAAACAAGCCCAGAGACCUAUGCUAAUCACUGCAAAGCUUGUUUAGUCUGAAUUUUACUGGCUUGACUUUACAGACAGCUAAAACGCCUUUCAAGUGUGAUAUAGUUAGCAGGGUGGCUAAUCAAGUUAGCUAAUCAACGUCACACAGCAAUACCAAGCAGAAGAAUUGCAUACAAUCUGUACCCGGCUAUACCCGGCUGUGUGGACGAGGCAAAACGUUAGCCACAUUAGCUGCCAUGCUAACAACACACGCAACAGUGUGUACAUACAGUAAAGCGACAUAAAAUGGUGAAACUUACAGCUCCAAAGUUUGAAGUUGGGUCUCGGACAGUCGGUGCUGAUCCAAGCUUUAUCUUCAGAAUGUAGCGAAUCCCGCAUUGUACUGGCCCUCAUUGAGAAAGCAGUCCGACGUGAAAUGGUUAGCCCGCUACAACUCCUAAAGUGUCCAUCAAAAAUCAAAUAAAACAAAUCCACUGGGUCUUCAGAUCCUCAGGCGUAGGGGAUAAAAAGACUUCUGUGCUGGUUUGUACAGCCAACAACCGAGCAACUAGCAUCGCUCGUACCUUCGACACAGUUUUACCAGAGCCGGUGAUGCGAGGGAAUAAACGAUAGCGGCUGCAAGGCGGACUCAGAGGGCGGAGCACACACCUAGCUCGGGGAGUGUCACCCACCUGGGGGGAGGUGUCAUCUCCCUUCAUGACGACAUCAAGGGAAAAUCUCCAAUUGGCCUGUGUGAGCACACAUUUUCUGAAAGGUGGCGAAAGCAAAAGACGGAGAGGAUGGACUUUUCUCAUGUUUGGGGGGUUUGUAGACAGGCCGGGGACACAUAUUACUGAUAGAAAACCAUGGAAAAGUGCAUUUUGCAUAAUAUGUCCCCUUUAAAGUAUAACAGCUGCAGGUAGAACAGAAAACAAGUUCUCAGUAUUAAAUAUUUAGAGGACAUGAAGCUCCCUCCCAUGUUGACCAUUAAAAGUAAAUGUUAAAACCUGGAUCCUGAACCGCCACAGACAGACGUGGAUCAGGAGGCUGCAGCGCCUCCUGCUGCUCAGAGGGAUAAAGUGACAUUUAAAGAGCAAACGAGAUAAACAUGGAGAGACUGAGGCGGUUUUCUGUUUGUGGAGAGGACGAAAUACAACAGGCCUGUUAAUGAGUUUGUGUUUAGACUCUACUGCUGAUGAUGAAGGACAGGGACAUGAAGAACCAACACGUGGAAAAGGGAAUGAUGUUUAAACAUCAUUUUUUUAGAGCCAUCCAUGUGUGUUGUUUGCUGUGUUGCACACAAAGUCACACAUCAACAAAAACUUAAAGGUUAAACUUAUUUUAUGUAAUAUUAAUGUUGUUACGCAUAUAGCUGAAAUUACAGCACAGAUGUUGUCCUCAUGUGUUUGGAGAUGCUCUGUAUGCCAGGUUAGGCUAGGCUAGGCUAGGCUAGGCUAGGCUAGGCUAGGCUAGGCUUAUUAAUGCAAAGCCAGAUAUGGACUGGAUGAG